UUGUUUUAUGAAAGUAGAGGUUAGCACUCCCCUUGACAAAGACAGAAGAUAGAAGCCUUUAAUUGUGGGUUGGGCCUGAAAAUAUGCAUAUGGUUAAGGCACUGCCACCUGCUUCGUGGAGUCCGACCAUCAUUAAAA
ensembl:snRNA